AUACGGAGGGUCCGAGCGUUAUCCGGAAUCAUUGGGUUUAAAGGGUCCGUAGGCGGGAAUCUAAGUCAGUGGUGAAAUCUUGCAGCUCAACUGUAAAAUUGCCAUUGAUACUGGAUUGCUUGAAUUAGUGUGAAGUGGUUAGAAUGUGUAGUGUAGCGGUGAAAUGCAUAGAUAUUAAACAGAAUACCAAUUGCGAAGGCAGAUCACUAACACUAUAUUGACGCUAAGGGACGAAAGCGUGGGGAGCGAACAGGAUUAGAAACCCCGGUAGUCC
rnacentral:rRNA from 1 species